GCCACAUUAAACAAGACACAAAUAAAAGCCUUCACAGUUUAAAAAAUGAGCUUUAUUAUCACAAGACCUAAACAAAGAUUCACAUGGAAAUUUAAACAGACUAAAUGGUAUUAAAGGCAUUAUUUCUCAUUUUACAUUUUUCUUAAUCGUUCAUAUUUUCCAAACUAGUUUUGGGAUUGAGGCUUAGUUGUUGUUGUUCUUGUUGUUCAUAUUUUUCCAACAUAAUGCAUUCUCAUGACCAAAUAACCUUUAUUAAUCCCCCUUCUUCUUUCUUCCUCAAAUUUAA
rnacentral:misc_RNA from 1 species